AAUCGAACCCGGAGAUAGCUGGUUCUCCUCGAAAUAGCUUUAGGGCUAGCCUCAUGGAUCAUUGGUGGGGGUAGAGCACUGAAUGUGCGCGGGGGCCACAAAGCCUACCAAACGCUAUCAAACUUCGAAUACCAUACAAUGCAGACCAUGGGAGUCAGUCCGCGAGAGAUAAGUUCCGCGGGCAAAAGGGGAACACCCCAGAUCAACCGCUAAGGUCCCCAAGUUCACGUUAAGUGGAGAAGGAUGUGGAAUUGCACAGACAACCAGGAUGUUGGCUCAGAAGCAGCCACACAUUUAAAGAGUGCGUAAUAGCUCACUGGUCGAGUGAUUGUGCGCCGAAGAUGUCCGGGGCUAAACGUGACACCGAAGCGAUGGGUGCAUCUGAAAGGAUGCGCGGUAGAGGAGCAAUGUGCAGAGGCAGAAGCCGUAUCGAGAGGCACGGUGGACACUGCACAAGAGAGAAUGCCGGUAUGAGUAGCGAGAGGCAUGCGAGAAACAUGCCCGUCGAAAGCCCAAGGUUUCCUGGGGAAGGUUCAUCCGCCCAGGGUAAGUCGGGGCCUAAGCCGAGGACGGAAGUCGUAGGCGAUGGACAGCAGGUGUAGAUUCCUGCACUACCGAUGGAAUGAAGCAGUGACACAGAAGGAUAACUCGAGCAGGGUGAUGGUCAACCCUGUGCAAGCAUCAAGGUUGGGUUGUAGUGAAGUACGCAAUCCUACAAGCUGAGGUGUGAUGCGGACCGAAAUUUCAGUAGGGAAGCGAGUGAGUUCACGCUGGCGAGAAAAGCUGCUAGUAUAUCCAAAGGUACCCGUACCGGAAACCGACGCAGGUGGGCGAGGAGAGAAUCCUGAGACGAACGGGAGAACCCUUGUUAAGGAACUCGGCAAAAUGACCCCGUAACUUCGGGAUAAGGGGUGCCUGCGAGAGCAGGCCGCAGAGAAUAGUCACAAGCGACUGUUUAGCAAAAACACAGGUAUCUGCGAAAGCGAGAGCUGACGUAUAGGUGCUGACACCUGCCCGGUGCUGGAAGGUUAAGGGAACAUGUUAGAGCAAUCGAAGCAUCGAACCGAAGCCCCAGUAAACGGCGGCCGUAACUAUAACGGUCCUAAGGUAGCGAAAUUCCUUGUCGGGUAAGUUCCGACCCGCACGAAUGGUGUAACGACUUGUGAGCUGUCUCAACAGGGGGCCCGGUGAAAUUGAAGUAUGGGUGAAGAUGCCCAUUACCCGCGACUGGACGGAGAGACCCCGUAGAGCUUUACUGCAGCCUGAUAUUGAGUUUCGGUAACUGAUGCACAGGAUAGGUGGGAGUCUGAGAGACACGGGUUUCGGCUCGUGAGGAGACGCUGUUGGGAUACCACUCUUCGGUUACUGAAAUUCUAACAUAGCUCUGUGAAACCAGAGGAUGGACAGUGUCAGGUGGACAGUUUGACUGGGGCGGUCGCCUCCGAAAGAGUAACGGAGGCGCCCAAAGGUACCCUCAGAAUGGAUGGAAACCAUUCGAAGAGCGCAAAGGCAGAAGGGUGCCUGACUGCGAGAUUGACAAAUCGAGCAGAGACGAAAGUCGGGCUUAGUGAUCCGGCGGUAUUGAGUGGAAAAGCCGUCGCUUAACGGAUAAAAGCUACCUCGGGGAUAACAGGCUGAUCUCCCCCAAGAGUCCACAUCGACGGGGAGGUUUGGCACCUCGAUGUCGGCUCGUCGCAUCCUGGGGCUGGAUUAGGUCCCAAGGGUUUGGCUGUUCGCCAAUUAAAGCGGCACGCGAGCUGGGUUCAGAACGUCGUGAGACAGUUCGGUCCCUAUCCAUCGUGGGCGUAGGAGUCAUGAGAGGAGCUGUUCCUAGUACGAGAGGACCGGAAUGGACGCACCACUGGUGCAACUGUUGUCGUGCCAACGGCAUAGCAGGGAAGCGAAGUGCGGAUGGGAUAAACGCUGAAGGCAUCUAAGCGUGAAGCCCACCUUAAGAAUAAGACUCCAAGCAGCAAUGCGAGAGACCCCUGGAAGACUACCAGGUGAUAGGUCAUCGGUGGAAGUGCAGUAAUGCAUGCAGCUUGAUGAUACUAAUCGGUCGAUAGCUUGAUUU
rnacentral:rRNA from 1 species